rnacentral:lncRNA from 1 species
GCCGACUGAGCAGGAGUCGUCCGCUUAUAGUGGAGGCUGCUAGGAGCCGGUCAGAGGGUGAGUGGGGAGCAGGCGAGCGAGCCACAGCAGGCAGGAGGGAGCGUCGCGCGGCGCAGAGGAGCGCCGGGGCAGGGCCGCGGCGGAACCACAGCCGGAGAGGGGCAGCCCGAGCCGGGCGCCGCAGGGUCCCCACCCCCACCCGGCCGGACAGUGCCCGGUGUUCCCCCGUGCGGGGGGCGGCGGCGGCGGCUGACGGGACCGCCGGGACCGCGGGGGUGUUGCCACCUCCACCGAGGAGCCGGCGCGGCCGCGGGCUCCUCAGAGCCGGGGCCCCGGGCCCGUGACAGACGGGCCGAGGAAGGGAGAGAGGCGGCGGCGACACCAUGUCAUCUCCCAGUCCGGGCAAGAGGCGGAUGGACACGGACGUGGUCAAGCUCAUCGAGAGUAAACAUGAGGUUACGAUCCUGGGAGGACUUAAUGAAUUUGUAGUGAAGUUUUAUGGACCACAAGGAAGUAACACCAUAUGAAGGCGGAGUAUGGAAAGUUAGAGUGGACCUACCUGAUAAAUACCCUUUCAAAUCU